rnacentral:rRNA from 1 species
UACAGAGGUCCCAAGCGUUGUUCGGAUUCACUGGGCGUAAAGGGCGCGUAGGCGGCCUUGUAAGUCUCGUGUGAAAGCCCUCGGCUUAACUGAGGAUCUGCACGGGAUACUGCGAGGCUCGAGUUCGGGAGAGGAAAGCGGAAUUCCGGGUGUAGCGGUGAAAUGCGUAGAUAUCCGGAGGAACACCAGUGGCGAAGGCGGCUUUCUGGACCGACACUGACGCUGAUGCGCGAAAGCUAGGGGAGCAAACGGG